AAGUGUUAUCCGGAAUCACUGGGCGUAAAGCGUCUGUAGGUGGUUUGAUGAGUCAACUGUUAAAUCUUGAGGCUCAACUUCAAAAUCGCAGUCGAGACUAUUAGACUAGAGUAUAGUAGAGGUAAAGGGAAUUUCCAGUGGAGCGGUGAAAUGCGUAGAUAUUGGAAAGAACACCGAUGGCGAAAGCACUUUACUGGGCUAUUACUAACACUCAGAGACGAAAGCUAGGGUAGCAAAUGGGAUUAGAUACCCCAGUAGUCCUAGCUGUAAACUAUGGAUACUAGAUGUUGAACAGAUCGACCUGUGCAGUAUCAAAGCUAACGCGUUAAGUAUCCCGCCUGGGAAGUAUGCACGCAAGUGUGAAACUCAAAGGAAUUGACGGGGGCCCGCACAAGCGGUGGAGCAUGUGGUUUAAUUCGAUGCAACGCGAAGAACCUUACCAGGGUUUGACAUGAUACGAAUUUCUUUGAAAGAAGAAAGUGCCGUUUGGAGCGUAUACACAGGUGGUGCACGGCUGUCGUCAGUUCGUGUCGUGAGAUGUUGGGUUAAGUCCCGCAACGAGCGCAACCCUUGUUUUUAGCUGCCUUUUAUGGAACUCUAAAAAGACUGCUGGUUAUAAACCGGAGGAAGGUGGGGAUGACGUCAAGUCAGCAUGCCCCUUACACCCUGGGCUACACACGUGCUACAUUGGGCGAGA
rnacentral:rRNA from 1 species